AGAGUUUGAUCAGUGGCUCAGGACGAACGCUGGCGGCGUGCUUAACACAUGCAAGUCGAACGGUAAGGCCCUUCGGGGUACACGAGUGGCGAACGGGUGAGUAACACGUGGGUGAUCUGCCCUGCACUUCGGGAUAAGCCUGGGAAACUGGGUCUAAUACCGGAUAGGACCAUGGACUUCACGGUUUGUGGUGGAAAGCUUUUGCGGUGUGGGAUGGGCCCGCGGCCUAUCAGCUUGUUGGUGGGGUAAUGGCCUACCAAGGCGACGACGGGUAGCCGGCCUGAGAGGGUGUCCGGCCACACUGGGACUGAGAUACGGCCCAGACUCCUACGGGAGGCAGCAGUGGGAAUAUUGCACAAUGGGCGCAAGCCUGAUGCAGCGACGCCGCGUGAGGGAUGACGGCCUUCGGGUUGUAAACCUCUUUCAAUAGGGACGAAGCGCAAGUGACGGUACCUAUAGAAGAAGCACCGGCCAACUACGUG
rnacentral:rRNA from 1 species